UCCGGCCACCAGCCUCGUCACCUGCGGGCUUCGCAACAGUACGAGGAGGCCACUGUGGAGGUCGGUUGUGCUGUCCACGGAGGCCAUACAAGCCGUCCAGUCCCUCAAGCUGGCCAUACAAGCCCCGGUUGAACCACGUCCUCAGCACGACCCUCGCUCGGCUCUUGAAAUCCGAUCUGUUGAACACCUUCGCCGAGCUCAAGAGACAGAACGAGGUCGAUUUGGCCCUCAAGCUCGAUGAAAUGGAUAAUCUCUCCGGUUCACACCACAUGGCCUUCAACUUUUCUAAUUGUGAAAGUCCCUCGAGUUGUAUCAUUCAAGAAGGAGAGAGCUCUAAAGCCGACAAAUUUUCCAAAUUUUUCAAGCUGGACAAGAGUGAUCUUGGCGGGUUGACUUUAUCAAGGUUUAACUGCACCAGAGAAGAUGGAAGAUGUGCGCAGGAUAGCAGGGCCAGUACAGACAAAGUAAGUAUGUUUAGAAGAGAAAGCGAGCCUCACAUUUUUGGGGGCACAGUGGUAUGCCAAAGGCACAAGUCAAUUUCUUUCAGUUUAAACAACCUCCCAAUCCACCAUUGGUCUCAAGUGUGCAGUACCUUUGGUCCUUCUGUAUAACCAGUGCCAUCAUGUAGAAUCAAUUCGACCAAAUUUCUCAGAUCGGAGAGAUUAGGAACCGACCGCAACGAAGUAGACUAGACUCGUAAACACAUCAAGCUCGUGAGAAGCUCCGGCAAACUCUUGGAUCUCACAAUAUUCUAAGCCUAGUUUUUCCAAGGCGGGGAAGCAGAUUCAUAUUACUUGGCAAAUUGAAAGUUUGUGUACGCAAUAAAUUUAAGAUUCUCAACGACGACAAUGUUCCGAUUUGCACAGGGACUUCAACCGCCAACUCUGGACAACUAUAGAGAGACAUGUAGCUUUUCCAAAUUCUCCAACAUUCUAAUAACACUAGGUAACUCCCAUUGGUUUC